rnacentral:rRNA from 1 species
AUUGAACGCUGGCGGCAGGCUUAACACAUGCCAGUAGAGCGAGCGGCGGCCGGGGGAGUAAUGUCGGGGAAACUGCCUGAUGGAGGGGGAUAACUACUGGAAACGGUAGCUAAUACCGCAUACCAUCAGAUGUGCCCAGAUGGGAUUUGCUAUUAGGUGGGGUAAUGGCUCACCUAGGCGACGAUCCCUAGCUGGUCUGAGAGGCUGACCGUCAACACUUGAACUGAGACACGGACCAGACUCCUACUGGAGGCAGCAGGGGGGAAUAUUGCAGAAUGCGCGCAAGCCUGAUGCAGCCAUGCCGCGUGUGUGAAGAAGGCCUUCGGGUUGUAAAGCACUUUCAGCGAGGAGGCGUUACUCGCAGAAGAAGCACCGGCUAGCUCCGUGCCAGCAGGCGCGGUAAUA